AGAUGUGAGGGCGAUCUGGCUGUUGGUCGCCGGCGUUGAUUCAGCUGAUCUGGCUGGCCUGGUAGGUGUCCUCUUCCUCCCAUGCUGCUCCAUGUGUGUCCCUCCCAAAGCUAUGUGUGUGGUCAAAGAGGAUGACCACCCCUGAGAGAGGACCAUUCCUGCAUCAAAGGUGUACAAAUAGUUGCUGGACCUCCAAACCAGCUCUCAAGGAGCUGCUUGCCCUUGUUAACUGCUCCUGAGGUUCAGGGUGGCAAGAUUGGGGAGAAACGCAGUGCAGCCUCUGUGUGCAAGGCCUGCUUCU
rfam:Cavia porcellus supercont2_6 genomic scaffold, whole genome shotgun sequence.